AAGAGGCGUUGCCCUUCGGGGUAUACCUCCCACCCUUUGUUUAUUAUACCUUUGUUGCUUUGGCGGGCCCGUCCUCGGACCACCGGCUUCUGCUGGUCAGUGCCCGCCAGAGGACCUAAAACUCUGUUUGUUAAUAUUGUCUGAGUACUAUAUAAUAGUUA
rnacentral:misc_RNA from 1 species